CAUUAAACUUUUGAGUUCCCUACUGAAAAAUUAAAAGGACGGAAUUAAUCACUGGAAAGUAGCAUCUCAUAGUGAUUUAGCUCUUUGCUCAAGUUGUUUUGCCCACCUCUUCCUCAAUCUUUUUUUAUUUUGCCCACCUGUGUUAGUUUGCCCUUCCUUACUGAUAGUUUGUUCUUAGCUAAAAUUGGUUGUUGGAUCCAUUUUAUGCCAAAAAGGGGCACUCAAGAUAAAAGAGAACUUUGAUCCAAAACUAAAAGAACAAAAAAAAAAGAACGGAGUGGCCGGUGGGCGUCGACAGCAGGGCUGGGCCAUCUUCCUCUGGCUCUGUCUUCCUCGUCUUCCUCGGUGUUGACCAAUCAGCUAGCUCUAAAGAAGAUGAUAUAGAGAGAAGUGAAGGGGGGAGGAGGGGCACGGUGGUGGUCAAGGUAGGAGAGGAGGAGAGAUGCGAAUGGCCUGUGCUUGCUGGUGUUCCUCUCCAUCUGCUGCUGCACCUCCCUCUCCUCUUUCCUCUCUCUUUCUCCCUCAUCUCCUUCCUUCUCUCUUUCCCACAUCUUCUAACUCUCCUGCAGGGACAAGCUCAUGGCACUGGACUGAAUCGAGUGCCCCAGCUGUCGCCCUUUGCCUGCAGGUCGCCCCC
rnacentral:lncRNA from 1 species